AAGACUACAGGUUUCUCCAUGGAGCAGCACAGAGGGUGAACAAAGGCAGAAAAGCUGUUCAAUACACAAGAAAAUAACACACACACUGUCUCCACGGUAUCUCACGGCAGACAUAACUUCCUAAACCCACCCACAUCUGCACAGGAACAAAAUUGGAGCUGAAGAAGCAAAAGAGUAAGCUGCACCCUUCUUACUCUGGUCUCUAGAGCUGGGAUUCUUGACUAACGAUGGAAGGGGAAGCAGUGAGAUAUGAAAUGGAUAUGAGAUUAAAGUUUCCAGCAGGACUGAAUUUUAAUAACUGAAAGGACUGGAAAGUGAUGUAGUCUACUGAAGAUAUUAAGAUAUGGAAAAUAGAGAUUUAACAGAGCAUAAUUAAAAGCAGAGUUUGGAGAAAAUUAAA
rnacentral:antisense_RNA from 1 species